UGGUAGCGAUACGCUUAGGGGACACACCCGUUCCCAUCCCGAACACGACGGUUAAGACCUAAGCGGCCGAUGGUACUGCACUGGAGACGGUGUGGGAGAGCAGGUGGCUGCCAGAUC
rnacentral:rRNA from 1 species